rnacentral:rRNA from 1 species
UGUAAAGCGGAGCACAUUACUGAGUUUACGCUCUAUAACCCUUUGUGAACAUACCUAUAACUGUUGCUUCGGCGGGUAGGGUCUCCGCGACCCUCCCGGCCUCCCGCCUCCGGGCGGGUCGGCGCCCGCCGGAGGAUAACCAAACUCUGAUUUAACGACGUUUCUUCUGAGUGGUACAAGCAAAUAAUCAAAACUUUUAACAACGGAUCUCUUGGUUCUGGCAUCGAUGAAGAACGCAGCGAAAUGCGAUAAGUAAUGUGAAUUGCAGAAUUCAGUGAAUCAUCGAAUCUUUGAACGCACAUUGCGCCCGCCAGCAUUCUGGCGGGCAUGCCUGUUCGAGCGUCAUUUCAACCCUCAAGCUCUGCUUGGUGUUGGGGCCCUACAGCUGAUGUAGGCCCUCAAAGGUAGUGGCGGACCCUCCCGGAGCCUCCUUUGCGUAGUAACUUUACGUCUCGCACUGGGAUCCGGAGGGACUCUUGCCGUAAAACCCCCCAAUUUUCCAAAGGUUGACCUCGGAUCAGGUAGGAAUACCCGCUGAACUUAAGCAUAUCAAUAAACGGAGG